rnacentral:rRNA from 1 species
CAAUAGCGUAUAUUAAAGUUGUUGCAGUUAAAAAGCUCGUAGUUGGAUUUCUGAUUGAGACAUCAGGUCGGGUCCGAGAGGAUCAUGUACUUUGAUUUGUUUUGAUCAUCCUUGGGGAGAGCAGUUCUGGCAUUAAGUUGUCGGGGUUGGGAUCCUCAUCGUUUACUGUGAAAAAAUUAGAGUGUUCAAAGCAGGCCUCGGCCUCUGAAUACAUUAGCAUGGAAUAAUAAGAUAGGACUUUGGUGGUCUAUUUUGUUGGUUUGCACGCCAAAGUAAUGAUUAAUAGGGAUAGUUGGGGGUAUUCGUAUUCAAUUGUCAGAGGUGAAAUUCUUGGAUUUAUGGAAGACGAACUACUGCGAAAGCAUUUACCAAGGAUGUUUUCAUUGA